rnacentral:rRNA from 1 species
UACGGAGGGGGCUAGCGUUGUUCGGAAUUACUGGGCGUAAAGCGCGCGUAGGCGGACCUGCAAGUCGGGGGUGAAAGCCCGAGGCUCAACCUCGGAACUGCCUUCGAUACUGCGGGUCUCGAGUCCGGGAGAGGUGAGUGGAAUUCCUAGUGUAGAGGUGAAAUUCGUAGAUAUUAGGAAGAACACCAGUGGCGAAGGCGGCUCACUGGCCCGGUACUGACGCUGAGGCGCG